rnacentral:rRNA from 1 species
CUUGGUGUUACUGCGAAGGGGGGACGGAGAAGGCUAUGUUGGCCGGGCGACGGUUGUCCCGGUUUAAGCGUGUAGGCUGGUUUUCCAGGCAAAUCCGGAAAAUCAAGGCUGAGGCGUGAUGACGAGGCACUACGGUGCUGAAGCAACAAAUGCCCUGCUUCCAGGAAAAGCCUCUAAGCAUCAGGUAACAUCAAAUCGUACCCCAAACCGACACAGGUGGUCAGGUAGAGAAUACCAAGGCGCUUGAGAGAACUCGGGUGAAGGAACUAGGCAAAAUGGUGCCGUAACUUCGGGAGAAGGCACGCUGAUAUGUAGGUGAGGUCCCUCGCGGAUGGAGCUGAAAUCAGUCGAAGAUACCAGCUGGCUGCAACUGUUUAUUAAAAACACAGCACUGUGCAAACACGAAAGUGGACGUAUACGGUGUGACGCCUGCCCGGUGCCGGAAGGUUAAUUGAUGGGGUUAGCGCAAGCGAAGCUCUUGAUCGAAGCCCCGGUAAACGGCGGCCGUAACAAUAACGGUCCUAAGGUAGCGAAAUUCCUUGUCGGGUAAGUUCCGACCUGCACGAAUGGCGUAAUGAUGGCCAGGCUGUCUCCACCCGAGACUCAGUGAAAUUGAACUCGCUGUGAAGAUGCAGUGUACCCGCGGCAAGACGGAAAGACCCCGUGAACCUUUACUAUAGCUUGACACUGAACAUUGAGCCUUGAUGUGUAGGAUAGGUGGGAGGCUUUGAAGUGUGGACGCCAGUCUGCAUGGAGCCGACCUUGAAAUACCACCCUUUAAUGUUUGAUAUUCUAACGUUGACCCGUAAUCCGGGUUGCGGACAGUGUCUGGUGGGUAGUUUGACUGGGGCGGUCUCCUCCUAAAGAGUAACGGAGGAGCACGAAGGUUGGCUAAUCCUGGUCGGACAUCAGGAGGUUAGUGCAAUGGCAUAAGCCAGCUUGACUGCGAGCGUGACGGCGCGAGCAGGUGCGAAAGCAGGUCAUAGUGAUCCGGUGGUUCUGAAUGGAAGGGCCAUCGCUCAACGGAUAAAAGGUACUCCGGGGAUAACAGGCUGAUACCGCCCAAGAGUUCAUAUCGACGGCGGUGUUUGGCACCUCGAUGUCGGCUCAUCACAUCCUGGGGCUGAAGUAGGUCCCAAGGGUAUGGCUGUUCGCCAUUUAAAGUGGUACGCGAGCUGGGUUUAGAACGUCGUGAGACAGUUCGGUCCCUAUCUGCCGUGGGCGCUGGAGAACUGAGGGGGGCUGCUCCUAGUACGAGAGGACCGGAGUGGACGCAUCACUGGUGUUCGGGUUGUCAUGCCAAUGGCACUGCCCGGUAGCUAAAUGCGGAAGAGAUAAGUGCUGAAAGCAUCUAAGCACGAAACUUGCCCCGAGAUGAGUUCUCCCUGACCCUUUAAGGGUCCUGAAGGAACGUUGAAGACGACGACGUUGAUAGGCCGGGUGUGUAAGCGCAGCGAUGCGUUGAGCUAACCGGUACUAAUGAACCGUGAGGCUUAACCU